GACGAACGCUGGCGGCGUGCUUAACACAUGCAAGUCGAACGGAAAGGCCCUGCUUUUGUGGGGUGCUCGAGUGGCGAACGGGUGAGUAACACGUGAGUAACCUGCCCUUGACUUUGGGAUAACUUCAGGAAACUGGGGCUAAUACCGGAUAGGAGCUCCUGCUGCAUGGUGGGGGUUGGAAAGUUUCGGCGGUUGGGGAUGGACUCGCGGCUUAUCAGCUUGUUGGUGGGGUAGUGGCUUACCAAGGCUUUGACGGGUAGCCGGCCUGAGAGGGUGACCGGCCACAUUGGGACUGAGAUACGGCCCAGACUCCUACGGGAGGCAGCAGUGGGAAAUAUUGCACAAUGGGCGGAAGCCUGAUGCAGCAACGCCGCGUGCGGAAUGACGUCCUUCUAGUUGUAAACCGCUUUCUCCUUUAACGAAGCGUGAGUGACGGUAAUGAGUAAAGAAGCACCGGCUAACUACGUG
rnacentral:rRNA from 1 species